rnacentral:lncRNA from 1 species
CAUGCUUGAAUGAUCUCAAAAUGAGGCAAUCGUUUGAGCAGAAACCCAGAGAGGCCUGGGAGGCAGAGCUUGCCUGAGACUGAUCCUGAAUUCAGCAGCCUCAGGCUCUCGGUGCAGACAGGCUCUGAGUGUGUUGUAGCAGAGCGACCCCAGGGUCAACUAUUCCAUUCCUCCUCCUGCACAGGUAGACAGCCAGCAACUCUGCAUGUGCUUAAAAUGAGUUCGACCUGCUGUGUUCCUUUGAAGGAGGAAGGAACAUAGGCAUACCUCGAGCCAUAUUGCUCACUGCCUUUCUUGGUUCAUGGAGUGGUUUUAGAGAAGGUAAUGUCUGGUCCACUGGCCCUACAGUUGUUCUUUUCUUCUGGAGGAGUCCCUUCCUUAUGAUGGGAAGCAGUAUUUUAAAACUCUGGAAUUCUUUUUCCAGUGUGUGCGUGUGUGUGUGUGUGUGUGUGUGUGUGUGUGUGUGUGUGUGUGUGUGUGUGUGCAUGUGUUCAUGUGCCUGAGUGCAGACAGGAAGCUGUGCUAUAGCACACAGUAUACCUUCAGAGGUCAGCUUUUGGCCCUCAGUCUCUGUCUUGUCAGAGAGUCUUUUGUUGAAUGUUGUCAGCGUGCUGACCUGCUGUCUCUGCCUCUUAGUGCUAUUACAUACUUGUGUACUAAUGGUCCUGAGAUUAUGUUAUGAGGAUCUUAACUCAGGCCUUCCCACUUGCAAAGCAAGCACUUUACUCGAGGAUCACAUCUCCAGCCUUGCAAGCUUGAUUGCAGAGAUGUGAGAGAAAAAUCUAGGACGACAACACAUCUCUAAUGCUGUGCACCCAAAUCUCCAGCUUUACUUCAUAUUUAUUUUUGUUUUGUUUGAAAGUGUGUCUAACCAUUUAGCCCAGCAAUCCUCCUGCUUCAGCUUCCCAAGUACUGCAAUUACAGACUUGCAUUACCUUGCCCAGUGCUAGCUUUCUGUGCUUUGCAUAGACUAUGUUUGUGGAUUUCCUGGUAUAUGUUGGCCCUCUGAAUAUUUUCCUGGUAACAAGUUCACAAUGAACUCACUCCCUCCUCAAGAUGUCAAACAGUAACUGGACCUUGGGAUUUUUACCUCCCAACUACUAUACAAAUGUAUGAAAUGAUUCGCUGUUCUGUUUCCAUGUUAGAGUCUUGGGCGAGGAAAACCUCAUCACUUGUAUGAAUUAGCCCAGGACUCCUUCUGCAUGCCUCUACACUCCAUUUUGUGUGCAUACACCUGAUGAUUUGCUGACUGUGUGAAGUCUGGUGUUUUUUGCUGUCAUCUCUGCCAGAGAGUGUAUAGUCCCAGCGGGCCCCUUCUCACCCCUUCCUCUAGUCCCCUGAGGUCAAGUGAGUUGUCAUUCAUCUGAAGGUGUUCCAUGAUUUUCUCAUACCAAGACUCUUUUACAUGGUGUUUCUUUUAUCCCUGUUUUACAUGAUCUCCCCUACCAUCCAGUUUUCACACACACACACACACACACACACACACACACACACACACACUAGACAUUAUAAUUCUUGAGGUAAUCUGUCUGUGAACUUCCAUCAUUGGAUGGAAUUGCUUGGUCUAGCUCUCUUUCUACUGUGUCUCCUUUAGUGCAAGGCUUCUGUGGCUGUUCGUGCAACGUCUUGAUGCAUUCCUAGGAACGAGAAAUAUGAUUUGUUUACGUCUUUGUUGUCCAGUGGUUUAAGUGUAAAAGACAGAAGACACAUUACUGAUCUUGUCCAUUAUGUAACUUUUUCUGGACAAUUGUCACAUCCCAUCCCCUUCAUCCCCUUACCCUGGCCUCCCCUGCCCUUUUUACCUUCCCUUCCUUUCCUCUCUUUCAUUCCCCUUGCAGUCUCCUUCUCGCCUUCCACUCCUCUCCUUUCUCUCUCCCCUUUCCAUCCCAUUUCUCUUCUUUAUCCCACACAAUACCUAUGAACCUUUUCUCUUUGUAUUUUAAAGUCCUACGACUUUAUGAGUCUCUCCUGACUCCUAUAGACCUUAUGGAUCUCUAGGCUUUACUGUAGAAUUGCUGGUUUCUCACCAUGUCAUUUAAGUGACAGCCACAUCACCCUCCGGCAUGACUUUCUCACAGUGUUGGCAACAAUCACAUACGUGAUUGUGCCAGAAGGGAAAUAGGGAACAGCAGUUGUUAGUCACCUCGUAAGAGGAGGUCACACCAGCAGCAUGCACUGCUUACUCCAGGAUAUUUCCUUCUCUGUUCACUUUUUCCUUCUUAAUGACUGCAGUUGACUGCUCUUACCUCUGAGAAGCAUUACUUUAAGUCCAGGUGGUGUUGCAGCCGAAGUCAGUCAGAGAUUGUUUGGGUAUCAGCUGUGAACUUUCUGCCUCUUACUUGAAAAGAAGCAAACAGACCCAGCAGUGUGAGCUGGAGCAUGUGUGAGUUAUUAAUAAUUUACUCGAUCUAUUGAUGCUCAGUAAUUGCCAGAGCUGAGAAAAGUUAGUUAAUGAUGUACCUGCCUGCACCACAUUAUAAUUAUGAUGGUAGUUCCCCUAUUAUUAGGGCUGAGUAGGUGUUCCCAUUAGCAACCUCAAUUGUCAAGCUGAUUGUUUUAGCCAUUGCGAAUCACAUCAGGCCAAAUCUUGGCAGACACUGUCACAGAGUGGAUACACUUCCUUCCCAAAGUAUUGUUAUGCUAGCACAGAAGUGUCCUCCCUUAAAUGACAGAAACUAUAAAGCCUGCUCUGCUUUUAGGAACCCUCUUGUUAUGGCCUGGAUGGCCAUGCAUUGGGGGACAUUGUGCAAGGAAAAAAGCUGAGUUUUGUUGUCAUGGAUACUACAUUGGUUCAAAUCAGAUCUUCUGAGCAAAACAGGUUCAUUGCAUUCAUUUGUGUGAGAGUGUGGGGUGUGUGUGUGUGUGUGUGUGUGUGUGUGUGUGUGUGUGUGUGUGUGUCUGUGUGUGUAAACAGAAAAUAGCUUAGGUGAAUUUCUUCUCAGGUCAGGGAAUGACAUAUUGCAUCCCAACAUGGUAGAAAGUUUUCUUUUCCAAGAAAAGCCAACAAAACUUGUAGGUCACAGAGAAGACCCAUAGUUCCCCCAGAAGACUCCACCUGACAUAUUCUAUGAAAAUGUAUUCCAGGGACUUAGUCAUGCAAGUAAAGGAAGGGAGCAAAGACUGAAGACCCAUCCAGUGAUGACUUCAGUGAUGGGUUUUGAAGGAGAGAUUUGCAGUUUUCUGGGAAUGUGCCCCUCAAUGGUAGUUCUUGCCCAGAUGUUUCCUUCCUCCCUCCCUGGUCCUCAUGGUGCAUAGCCUCUUACAUCUCAUGCUCCUGUCACCAAGCCACCAUGGCUCAUUGUAGGACCUAAGCCCUGCAGCCAGCAUGCUUGGGCAGACUUUGAAGAAGCCCAGGGAUUCAGGCAUCCUAGGGGAUACAGCCUCAUGCUUCUCAAAUCUUUUCAUCUCUUAAUGUAUGAACUGCUUAUUAUCUUGUACAAAACUUAUUUCUUAAAAUCAUACUGUGCUUGAAGAUAGAUAGAUAAAUAAAUAAAUAAAUAAAUAAAUAAAUAAAUAAAUCAGUUUUCUCCUUUGCCAGAGUUCACUAUAAUCGGUGCCACUUAGUGGAUAUAACCAUUUUGUUUUUAUUUUUGUUUUGUUUUGUUUUCUUCUAAUAACUCAACUUUGGGUAAGAAAACAAAAGCGAAACCACUAUCAAAUGCAUACCUGGAGGCACAGGUCAAUUCUCCUGAACUUUCCCAUGUCUAUUGAUUGAGAUAAAUCAAUAAACAUGAUCUGAUUUAGUCUCUACAGCCAAAGUAUGAGUGUAACCUUUUUAUUUUCAUCUUCUCUCUCUGUGGCACCUUCCAGGAAACACUGGAGUUAGCAAGAAAGGACAUCUGUUAGAAAGAGGAAGGUGUGUCUAUUUUUCUUGCUGUGCAUUUUGGCGAAGUCACUGUGUUUGGAAAAGUACAAGGAAUAUGAUUCAAAAAAUUCAAUCAUCUGGCACUGUUGCUCUCAAUUCAAGAUUGAAAAAGAUAGAUGUAAGUUAUUCCAGGUAGGCACUGACACCAGUGCAGACAUCCCUUCCCCAAUAAACCAAGUGGAAAUCAGGAGAGGCAGAGGCAUUAUCUCGACAUCUCCGUGGGUUCACUUUUCAAUUUGUCCAUCAUUGCCAUCAUCAUUGUUGCUUCCAUUAUUAAUAUUUAAACAGCAGAGUUGUGUAAACAUUCUGCCAGGAGGCUUAACAAAGUAGAAUUUAUGCAGACAUUUUUGUAGGUGGAAAAAAGCCACUCAAGAGUAUUUUGCUUUUAGGUGGAUUUUCUUCAGCAUCCAAACGGCAUUCUCUGAACACUACCAUGUGUCAGCUCUUGUGAGAUUAAGAAAUACCCCGGGUGCCAGGUGUGGUGGCACAUGCCUUUAAUCCCAGCACUCCAGAAACAGGGCAGGCAGAUCUCAGAGAGUUUGAGGCCAGCCUGGUCUGCAAAAAGAAUUCCAGGUCAGCCAGAUCUGACCAGACCAGAGAAACCCUGUCUGGAAAACU